rnacentral:tRNA from 1 species
AGGAUAGUAGUUCAAAAAAAACAUUUGAUUUGCAAUUAAAAAAUAUAAAAUUAGUUUUAUCUAUCUUU